rnacentral:misc_RNA from 1 species
GAUGAAGAACGUAGCGAAAUGCGAUAAGUAAUGUGAAUUGCAGAAUUCAGUGAAUCAUCGAAUCUUUGAACGCACCUUGCACCCUUUGGCAUUCUGAAGGGUAUGCUCGUUUGAGUGUCAUUGUACUCUCACACUCCCGAUCUUUGCAUUGGGAGCAGUGGACUUGGGUUUGCUGCUUCACCGUCGCUUACCUCAAAUAGGUUAGUGCAGCUCUUGGUUGGACAUAGUACGGCGUGAUAAGUGUUCUUCGCCGGUGCCUCGCAAAGAGGGUGGCCGAUCGGGAUGUUGUGCUCCAAACCGUCUUCGGACAAUCUCUGACGACUUGACCUCAAAUCGAGUAAGACUACCCGCUGAACUUAAGCAUAUCAAUAAGCGGAGGA